UAGGGAAUAUUGGACAAUGGGGGAAACCCUGAUCCAGCCAUGCCGCGUGAGUGAUGAAGGCCUUAGGGUUGUAAAGCUCUUUCGGCGGGGAAGAUAAUGACGGUACCCGCAGAAGAAGCCCCGGCUAACUUCGUGCCAGCAGCCGCGGUAAUACGAAGGGGGCUAGCGUUGCUCGGAAUCACUGGGCGUAAAGCGCACGUAGGCGGAUUUCUAAGUCAGGGGUGAAAUUCUGGAGCUCAACUCCAGAACUGCCUUUGAUACUGGAAAUCUCGAGUUCGGGAGAGGUGAGUGGAACUGCGAGUGUAGAGGUGAAAUUCGUAGAUAUUCGCAAGAACACCAGUGGCGAAGGCGGCUCACUGGCCCGAUACUGACGCUGAGGUGCGAAAGCGUGGGGAGCAAAC
rnacentral:rRNA from 1 species